AAAGCAUCUAAGUGUGAAACCCUCCUCAAGAUGAGUCUUCCAUUGAGAUUCGUCAUAGACGAUGACGUUGAUAGGCUACAGGUCUAAAAGUGGUAACACCCAGCCGAGUAGUACUAAUGAAUCAAGGGCUCCUAUU
rnacentral:rRNA from 1 species